CUUUCUUCGUGAAAUGAAUUGUUAAUUGUUGAUCUCUAGUUCACUCAGGAAAUAUACUCAACGGUGAUUUGAUCAUUCUGCCCACGCCACUGAUUUCCAGAUAGACUGUACGCAAUGAACACAAUCACAGAUUAACUAUCGACUUAACACUGCCUUAUCAAUCUUUAAUCAUGGUAAAUUCAUCUGGCUAAUCGAGUGAUCUUUAUACAUAAAAGAUCAAAACAAUAAUGCAAAUGGAUUCUUAUAAACCUAAUCAUGGGAAGAACCUGUUAGAAUUGUUAAAUCAGUCUCUGUAUCACAAAUAACUGUCAGAUUGUAAGUUGUGAACUGGAAUUGACUUUCAACUUGAUACCAAUUUAGGGUUGGUUUACAAAUCCAGGGGAAUUCUGAUUCGAAACUGAACAAUUGAAAUGGUAAUUCCAAUAAUCAUUGAGAUUAACAUCUUUAACGAUUUAACUCACUAGGCAAGGAUAUCCCUCUAUUGGCUGAUAUUGAAACCAUUGCCAUUGGUAAAUGAAGCGCAUGGAUCAAGAGGAAUCGAGUUAAUUACUAAUUUAUAUUAGUGUCAACUGGAGUCUAUCAAUGGAGUUUAUGUGGUUAAUUAAACGUUGAACUGUUGCUGCUUAAUAUGGCCACAAUUGGACACCAAUUGGACAACAAUGAAACAUUUAAUGGGACAAUCAAUGGAACAGUCAAUGACAUUGAUGUGUAUAGCAAGUGUUUGACUCAGACGUUGGAAGAGACAUUGUCAAUCGCAUCAAAAUUUGUCUCUUAAUCAAAGCUAAUCAGUUGAAAUCGUCCAAUUAAUUGUUCAACAUUAGCCACAUUAUAUCUAAAUCUUUAGCCUGACAAAGCUUUGAUUACAUAUAAUAUAAAUUGUUACCGAGACAGGUUUAAAUAUAAUCUAGUUUUUCCUCUAUUUUCAACUUAGCAUUUUUCAAUCAGUCUCAAACGAUUCAAUGAUUAAUUUUGAUUAGAGAUUGUCUUUUAUAAUAUUUUGUUGAUUGACAAUUCCAUGAGUGUUUCAAACUUGUAAAAAGCAAGCAAAGCAAGCUUAAUUGUUACAUGUUAAUGAUAGUACAUGAGAAGUUAAAUUUGUGUAAUUAAUCAUGGGAACCUGAUCUUGAAAACGAAAGGUGAAAUUUGUUGAAACAAUUAACUCUCACUAUCAAUUGUGUAGCACAUCUAAUCACCAACCUUUUAACUGGACAAUUGACUAAACACGAGAGAAAAUGUUUAAGCUAAAAAGGUAAGCUGACCAAAGUAAUUAACUUUGAUCAACUUAACAGAUCAACAAGUAGUCAACCUAUCAUUAUUACUAAUACUUGUAAAUGUCAUAUUAUAUUUUUUCACAGUAAAAUGAUUAAUAAUAAUGAUACUGAAAAUGAAA